AUGCUAACUCUAGCUCAAACCUUUUUCACAUAACGCAAAAAUUCUUAAUGAAAUAACUAAAACAUUUUCUCUACUUAGUAUAGGCGAUAGAAAAGUUAUUUGACGCAAUAGAGACUCGUACCGUAAGGGAAAGUUGAAAUAACAAUGAAAACCUAAGCAAAGAACAGCAAAGAUUAACCCUUGUACCUUUUGCAUCAUGAUUUAGCAAGAACAUCCAAGCACAACGAAUUUAAGCUUGCCACCCCGAAACCUACGCGAGCUACUCUCAAGCAGCUAUCUGUGAGCAAACCCGUCUCUGUGGCAAAAGAGUGGGAAGACUUGUUAGUAGAGGUGAAAAGCCAACCGAGCUAGGUGAUAGCUGGUUGCCUGCGAAAUGAAUUUGAGUUCACCCCUAAAUCUCCUUCCAGGACCUCCCUACUCAACCUUAACGUGAUAUUUAGGAGUUAUUUAAAGGAGGUACAGCUCCUUUAAACUAGAACACAAUCUUCACAAGAGGGUAAUACUCCUAUCUCAACAUAUGUAGGCCUUCAAGCAGCCAUCAACUAAGAGUGCGUCAAAGCUCAUCCAAUCUUAAAAGAUAUCAAAAGUACAAAGAGAACCCCUAUCCAAUAGCAGGCCAACCUAUGAUUAUAGGAGAAUUUAUGCUAAAAUGAGUAAUUUGAAGAUUUACUUCUCUAAGCGCAAACCUACAUUAAAAAUUAUUAACAGCUCGACUAAUAUUACUACUACACUAGAACUAGUAUUUCAACUAACCUGUUACCCCAACUCAGGAGCGCCUUAAAAGAACGAUUAAAAUCUGCAAAAGGAACUAGGCAAACCCAAGGCCCGACUGUUUACCAAAAACAUAGCCUUCAGCUCCACAAGUAUUGAAGGUGAUGCCUGCCCAGUGACUAACGUUCAACGGCCGCGGUAUCCUAACCGUGCGAAGGUAGCGCAAUCAAUUGUCCCAUAAAUAGAGACUUGUAUGAAUGGCUAAACGAGGUCUUAACUGUCUCUUGCAGAUAAUCAGUGAAAUUGAUCUCCUUGUGCAAAAGCAAGGAUGAACCCAUAAGACGAGAAGACCCUGUGGAACUUAAAAAUCUAAGGUCAAUGCAAACACUACUAAACCAAAAGGCAUACUUCACCUGCACUCAUGACCCUUAUUUUUCGGUUGGGGCGACCUUGGAGUAUAAACAAACCUCCAAAAAUAGGACCAAACCUCCUGACUUAGAGCAACUUCUCAAAGUACUAACAGCAACCAGACCCAAUAUAUUUGAUAAAUGAACCAAGCUACCCCAGGGAUAACAGCGCAAUCUCCUUCAAGAGCCCCUAUCGACAAGGAGGUUUACGACCUCGAUGUUGGAUCAGGACAUCCUAAUGGUGCAGCCGCUAUUAAGGGUUCGUUUGUUCAACGAUUAAUAGUCCUACGUGAUCUGAGUUCAGACCGGAGCAAUCCAGGUCGGUUUCUAUCUAUGCUAUACUGUCUCUAGUACGAAAGGACCGAGACAGUGAGGCCCAUAUUUGUUCAAAUACGCCUCCUUUCCAAUUAGUGAAUACAACUCAACUAAUAAGAAAUCCCACUUAAUAAGUCCUAGAUAAGGAUAG
rnacentral:rRNA from 1 species